GACGGAGGGUGCUAGCGUUGUUCGGAAUUACUGGGCGUAAAGGGCGCGUAGGCGGCCUCGUAAGUCCCGUGUGAAAGCCCCCGGCUCAACUGGGGAAUUGCACGGGAAACUGCGGGGCUUGAGUUCGGGAGAGGGAAGCGGAAUUCCGGGUGUAGCGGUGAAAUGCGUAGAUAUCCGGAGGAACACCAGUGGCGAAGGCGGCUUCCUGGACCGACACUGACGCUGAGGCGCGAAAGCUAGGGGAGCAAACGGG
rnacentral:rRNA from 1 species